AACUUUGGACAAUGGAUCUCUUGGCUCUCGCAUCGAUGAAGAACGCAGCGAAAUGCGAUAAGUAAUGUGAAUUGCGGAAUUCAGUGAAUCAUCGAAUCUUUGAACGCACCUUGCGCCCCUUGGUAUUCCGAGGGGCAUGCCUGUUUGAGUGUCUUGAAAUCAUCAAACCUAACCGGUCUUGUUGCCGGCGCGGUUUGGGCUUGGGGGUUCUUUGCUGCCGCUCGCGGUGGCUCCCCUUAAAUGUAUCGGUCGGGCUUUCGUGCGGCUCUGUCCCUUGGCGUUGUAUUCCCCUCGUCGCUGGAUGGCCCGCGAUUCUGCGCCCCUCCCUUACCUGCCUCUGGAGUGGCGGUCUCUAACAGUUUGUGAUCUGACCUCAAAUCAGGUAGGACUACCCGCUGAACUUAAGCAUAUCAAUAAGCGGAGGCU
rnacentral:misc_RNA from 1 species